rnacentral:snRNA from 1 species
GUGCUUGCUUUGGCACCACAUAUGCUAAAACAGGAAUGAUACAGAAUAGAUUAGCAUGGCCCCUGUGCAAAGAUGACACGAAUAUUCACGAAGCGUUCUAUAUUAAA